rnacentral:rRNA from 1 species
CGGAAUUACUGGGCGUAAAGCGCAUGCAGGUGGUUUGUUAAGUCAGAUGUGAAAGCCCGGGGCUCAACCUCGAAAUUUGCAUUUGAAACUGGCAAACUAGAGUACUGUAGAGGGGGUAGAAUUUCAGGUGUAGCGGUGAAAUGCGUAGAGAUCUGAAGGAAUACCGGUGGCGAAGGCGGCCCCCUGGACAGAUACUGACACUCAGAUGCGAAAGCGUGGGGACGCAAACAGGAUUAGAUACCCUGGUAG